GCGAGAGUGGCGGAAUUGGCAGACGCACAGGACUUAGGAUCCUGUGCCCGCAAGGGCGUGAGGGUUCAAGUCCCUCCUCUCGCA
rnacentral:tRNA from 1 species